rnacentral:rRNA from 1 species
UACGUAGGGGGCAAGCGUUGUCCGGAAUCAUUGGGCGUAAAGAGCGUGUAGGCGGCCCGGUAAGUCCGCUGUGAAAGUCCAGGGCUCAACCCUGGAAUGCCGGUGGAAACUGUCGGGCUAGAGUCCGGAAGAGGCGAGUGGAAUUCCUGGUGUAGCGGUGAAAUGCGCAGAUAUCAGGAGGAACACCAAUGGCGAAGGCAGCUCGCUGGGACGGUACUGACGCUGAGACGCGAAGCGUGG